rnacentral:rRNA from 1 species
GAUGAACGCUGGCGGCGUGCCUAAUACAUGCCAGUCGAGCGAACGGACGAGAAGCUUGCUUCUCUGAUGUUAGCGGCGGACGGGUGAGUAACACGUGGAUAACCUACCUAUAAGACUGGGAUAACUUCGGGAAACCGGAGCUAAUACCGGAUGAUAUUUUGAACCGCAUGGUUCAAAAGUGAAAGACGGUCUUGCUGUCACUUAUAGAUGGAUCCGCGCUGCAUUAGCUAGUUGGUAAGGUAAUGGCUUACCAAGGCAACGAUGCAUAGCCGACCUGAGAGGGUGAUCGGCCACACUGGAACUGAGACACGGUCCAGACUCCUACGGGAGGCAGCAGUAGGGAAUCUUCCGCAAUGGGCGAAAGCCUGACGGAGCAACGCCGCGUGAGUGAUGAAGGUCUUCGGAUCGUAAAACUCUGUUAUUAGGGAAGAACAUAUGUGUAAGUAACUGUGCACAUCUUGACGGUACCUAAUCAGAAAGCCAUGGCUAACUACGUG